GCUGAGCCUCGGCCCCUAACGAAGUGCUCUCCCCCUACUGACCCCGCCUUCACUCAACCCCCUUCCUUUUACCAGGCCCGCACUCCACUAGCUCCUCCCCUUCACCACGUCCCCUCUGAGUCCCCACAUCGGCACUCACCCGCCCCAGACCUCAGAAACGUAUACGCUGGUCUCUUUCUCAGACCCUCGCCCCAGAACUAGACACACUGACCCCGUCCACCUGAUGGGUACCCCUCUGCCCUUCCCCAGUAGCCCUGCCCUCCCCACCCCUCUGUGAGUGGCCUGGGUUGGAGGGGUUUGCCAGGGUCUCAUCUGUGGUUCCUCCUCCCCUGUCCUGAGUGAGACCCUGGCAAUCGUCUGGGGACCCAACUAACCCCGUCCACUGUCUGUCCUUCUUUCUCCCCUGGCCCUCAGCAAAAAGAGGAGACUAGACUCGGAGUGCAGCUGUGGGAGCUCCUCACCCCUGCGCAAGAAGAAGAAGAGUGUGAAGAAGCACCGCAAAGACAGGUCUGAUUCUGGGUCCAGGAGGAAGAGACGGCACAGAUCUCGAAGCCCCAAGAGCAAAAGAAAAGAGAAGAACAAAGAGAGGAAGAGGCCACACGAGUCCCCAGGCCGGAGGUCCCAUCGCCACAGCAGUGGAAGUUCCCACAGCCCCUCACUCUCCUCCCAGGACAGUGAUUCCAGAUCGCCCAGCAGGCUGAGCCCCAAGCCCCGAGGCGAAGGUCGGAAGACGGGCAGCCAGCGGUCCAGCGGGAGCCGAUCGCCUUCCCUGUCAGGCGGCAGCGGAUGGGGGUCGCCCCAGCAGAACGGAGGCAGCCGGCAGCGGAGCGGAGCGCAGGGGGGCCGCCCGGGCUUGGCGCAGAGCCCGCCAGAUGUAGGUAUCCCAGCUCAGCUGUGCGCUCGCUCGCUCCCAUCUCCAGAUAAGCCCUGCCACGCUGCUUGGUUUGAAUGUGGUUUUCUUCCUCUUUCUCUCAGUCUCACUCUGGUUGGUUUUCUUCCCUUCCCUUUUCUUUCUUUAUUUUAGUGACUACUCAUUUGUAACUUGCAUUUUCUCCAAAUGAGCUACACAGCUGUGUUUCCUGGUUUGUCGUUUGGUUUUCUUGAGUACCUCCCCCCACCCCCCAACAACAAGUUUUCUGGUUCAUUCCUCCCUCAUUCCCACCUUCUCUGCUCCUUCUUCCUCUCCACCCCACCUCCCAAUCCUCCUUCAUGCUCUCUCUCAUUUUGUUGUCUGAAUGCAUUUCUGUGUGGUUUAGCAUUCCAAGUUUGUGUUCCCAUCCUGAACUCUAUGCUGUGGUUGAGCCAAUUUGAUUUCUGUUGUCUGGAGUAACUGCUAAGCCUCUCACCCCUCACCCCUGCCAGCCCCUGGGGUGACUUGAGCACUAAAUCUUUGUUGGAGGGGCCUGUGCUGGGCCUUUGCCCUCCGGAUCCUGGAGGAAGUUCUGGCUGAGGUCAGGCCUGGGAAGAGAGCCCUUUCCCAUCCUCUGGGGCCUGCUGGGCUCCUGCAGGUGCUGCCCUGGCUGAAGGCAGAGCUUUAGGGUGGGAGCUGCAGGACUUUGGGGCAGCAGCUGACACCAGGACUAAAUCCCACAGCUCCAUUUUGGGGUGUGAUGGUGGUUGGGCUUUGGGUGGGGAGUGAACUGCAGGAGUAGGCACUGGACUUGUAAGUUCUACUUAGAAAAGUCUCUGUGGGGGGUGGAAGGAACUCUCAGCUAACCCUCUGCGCUCUGGCCCACUACCCAAUCUAGAAAGGGGCUCCCUCCUUCCCCCAGCAUCCUUCCACCUUCCAAAUUUGAGUUUAAUGUGCAGAAUGAUCCAGAAAGAAUAGUCAGUGGAGGCCACAGAUCCCCAAGGUUAGGGCAGAACUAGGCUAGGUCCUGGGAUUUGUGUCUUCCAGCCAGCGCUCAUCCAGUCACAGAGGUAGGUCCUCAAAGAUCUCAUCUCCCCAUCUCUGCCCUUUAAACUGUUUUCUUCCCACCUAGAAGCAGCUACAGAAGUUUGACAUCCCAACUCUGUGAGGCCUCCCUGGACCUCAUCUUUGAUAAAAGAAGGGCUCAUCUUCCCCCAUGUUGACCCCAGGGGCAAGUCCCCAGUAGCUCAUCAUCUCAGAACAUUCUUCAAUCCUGGUGGUGCUAGGAGGGCAGACAAGGAAAUUGUUCAUGGAGGGAGAGAGCGCUGCUGGUCCGAUGGAGGAGUGGAGGCCCCUCCUCAAGGAGUACCUGAUGCGACCAGGCACCCAGACACAGGAUCCUCAAGUGCUGAGCUGGAGGGGCUAAUUGCCCCAGAUGCUCACUUAUUCUAAUCUGUAGGAAUACCAGGCUCAGGCAACCACACUGUCCCUUGCUGCUCUCUUCCCCUUGUCUUUCCACCUCAAAAAUUCCUUACAUAAGCAAAAAGAAAAGAUGUUGGAUAGGAAGUCAGUGAUCACCCAAUAUCUUUGUACUUUUUUCUCUCCAAAUUAACUGAAUCAAAUGGUUGUUUAGGUAUCAUAUAAAUUGAACCCGAGGUAAAGUUUUAUUAAAACAAUUAAGAAACUUAAAAAAAAAAAGAUAUCUGGGAGCCGUGGUACCAAGGAGCAGAGGGGCUCCUGGGAGUGGGGCUCAGAGCCAGGUGAGGUCUGGCCUUACUCACUCAUCCAUCCAUUCACACACACACACACCCAGCAGGCAUUUGCUGAGCACUCCUCCGCGCCAGGCCCUGUCUGAGUAUCCAUGCCAGGGUCGAGGCAGGCAGACCUGAGAGGGGACAAGCUGAACCAUGGAUGGGGAGCUCUGCCCAUCAGGGUAGCCCCAGCCCUAGCACAUGCUGGCACAACCCAAACUGAAGGAAGGAACAAGGGUCUGUGGGAUCAGAGAGGAGUGCGCCUGACUCAGGGUGAGGCUCAGGAGAGGCUUCCUGGAGGUGGUGGCCUUGGGCUGACUGUAAAGAAGAAAGAAACAUUAACCAGGCGGUGAGAGAGUGGAGAGGGAAGAAGGGAGAAUAGUUCCAGGCAAGAGUGACAGGACUCACACAGAACAGGCUUUGAGAGAUACGUGGUGGUCCCUGGCCACCAGUCCUAUCUGGCAAUGAGAUCCAUGGUGUCUGGGCCCGUAUCUUCCUCAAUUCCUGAAGAAUGAGACCCAGCCAAGCUGAGGAUGGGGAUCACCCUCUGGCAGGGUCAUGGCAAUCCUUUCCUAAGGACUUCUGGAGGGAUGGGUGGAUAAGGGUGAGAUUGGCCCCCAGAGUCUUCCCCUGAGGGAAGGCACUAUCUGCCACCUACCUAGCAACAUCUUCCUCCCACCCUCCAUCAUCCUGGCACUGAGGGGACAUGUUACGGGGCCCGAGGCCUCCUGCACUCCUCCGACCCUAUUUAUCUCUGCUGAAACAGUGAGUCAUUUGUACUCCAUAAAGAACCUCUCGAACCCUGAAUAGGCCCACCCUGUUAGAAAGAUUCAGUUAUGACCAUUUUCCCAAUGGGAAAACUGAGGCCUCGGUGGUAAGUCACUUCUCAAAGGCCUCACAGCAAGUUCACAUCAGGGUUGAUUCCAGUGUGUUCACUUUGCCAAUUACCAGCAUCUUGGAUUAUGGCAGCCAAUUGGCUUGGAGGAGGUGAGAGGGAAAUGGAAAAGAGAUUGGACUUCAAGACCAGCCAGACAGGAAGGGUCCAGCUCAGCACAAGGGGUCUGGCCCAGGGACUUCCGCCUCAAUGGUUAGGGACAGCAACAUCAUGGGGUGGACAUCCACCCAACCCAGACCCUUUUUAUUCCUAAUACUCCCAGACCAACAGUGGGAAGUAUAGAGGGCCUUGCAGCGCCUGUGGGAAAGAACAUGGUAGCCCUUGGUCUUCCCUCCCUGCUGCCCUCUGCCCUGGAGUCAGAAAUAGUGGCUUAGAUCCAGAGUCUGGGUUGGAGCAGAAUUCACAUCCAGGUCCUAAUUCCCAAGUUUAGUAUUCUGCCUACUUGCCUUGCUACCCCUACCACCGCCGCCAAAGUGGCAAGCAAAGGCUUCGAAAAGGUGGGGUCCAGUGUCUCCUUAGGUGUGAGUACUAUGCAUUGGCUGCCAAGGCACCCCCCUCCCCCCACCUAGUAUCUGUUCUACACUCUGACAACCCAGGGGAUAGAAAAGAUACUGGACAUUUGAGGAACCUGGAGACGUCUUUUUCAUUUGCCUUCUCUGGAAGGAAAAGGAUGCUGGAUGACAGAACCUAGUGCUGGGGGCUUGGGAGCUAUACCGGCAGGGGUGGAGGGAAUAUGUGCUGGGGAGCCAAGGGUCCCUGGUAACAUCUAUUGUGAAUGGAAAUGAUACUCAGAGGGGCUAUGGCUGAACAACCCAGCCUCCAUGUCUCCUGGCCUAGCUAGAGUAAGGGUGCUCAAAGGGUACCUUGGUACCUGGAAAUAUCUACUCGGCCCACCAAUGCCUGCCUCUGCCCCAAAGAGAGACACCAGGCUCUUCCAGGAGGAGGUCUUCAUGGCCCAUCUGGCUCUGAUCAGCUGCUUUCCCCUUCUAUGGUUGGUGUUCAUUGGCUGCUUCACGAGCUGGCUAUGCGUCUCCACCAAUGGGGCUGACUUCUUGGCUCUACCUUCAUGCCCAGGCUGGAUCCAGGAUACAAUGUACACAAUCGCCUUGGCACCACCCUGCUCCCUGUAGGAAGCACAAGGGUCAUGCCAACCACACUCCUUCCAGCCCUUGGCAGCAAGGUUAUCUCAUCCAAGAGCCUGUCUGUCAAAAGAACUUGGCCUAGACCCUGCCCCUGACCUAAGACUUCCUGGUUUAGCCUUGGCCCUUGUAAGGACCUUUCUUCCUCAGCAAACAGCAUUGAGGCCCUACUAGGUGCCAAAUUCUGUGAUAAAAACUCAGGUUACAGAGCUGAAUUGACACCAGAUCUGCCCUGGGGGUAGUCAAAGUCAAGUUGGUGGUGUUACUGGGGGCGGGGUAAGAGUGAUGGACAGACAAGUGUAAGCAAUCAACUGUUACCAGAUGGAAGCCCAAGGACAGGAGGAGGGUCAGUUCUCUGGAGGGAGGGGGAUGGAGAGGGUGGUCAGGGGGCACGCAAAGAAUCCUGGAAUAUUUGCUCUGGAAGGAGCAUCAGGAAGCAAAGCCCAACGCUCUCACUGUGUGGAUGGGGAAACUGAGGCCCAGUCAGCAGACGUUACUUGGCCGGGGUCCCUAAGUGAGGUAGUGGCAGGUUCUUGGACCCCGAUUUCCAGUCAGGGCCCUUUUGGAGGUACUAGGUGUCCUUUCUGGUUUUCUGUAUCCAGAUCCUUGUGUCCUAACUCCAUUUUUGGAAAAACAUGUGACAUCUCUAUCCAAAGGUCAUGGUUACCCAGGAGGUGCCUGCUCAGGCCCAAGGAGCCAGGCACUGCCAGUCCUUCCUCCAGAGGCAGUGUGGCCUCUAGGCCUAGAAUGGGGUGGUUGAGUUUUCCUCUCUCUCUCUCUCUAUCUCUCUUGCAUUUUUGUGAAUCUAAUGAUGAACUUACGCUACCACACUUUUCCCUUCUCUUACACAUCUUACCUACUAAAGGAGGAAGUGCCACUUUAUUGUUUUGAGUUCAGUUGUCCUGCCCCGCCCCCAUCCCCAUCUGUGUGCCGUGUGCCCCCUCCAUCCC